CGCCUCUUGACUAAACCAUAAGAGGUCCAGCCUGCCCAGUGACAUUGUUCAACGGCCGCGGUAUCCUAACCGUGCGAAGGUAGCGUAAUCACUUGUCCCUUAAAUGGGGACUAGUAUGAAUGGCCCCACGAAAGCUAUACUGUCUCCUUUUUCCAAUCAGUUAAACUAAUCUUCCCGUGAAGAAGCGGGAAUAAGUAUACAAGACGAGAAGACCCUAUGGAGCUUUAAACAAUUGAAACACUUGCAUUUUAUUUUAAAAUUCAUAUUAAACCUCACAUUUUGUUUCUAGUUUUAGGUUGGGGUGACCGCGGAGUAAAAACAAACCUCCACGCUGAAAGAGAUUCUACUCUAAACAGAAAGCUACAUCUUUAUGUAUUAAUACAUUAACCUUAAUUGACCCAAUUUAUUGAUCAACGAACCAAGUUACCCUAGGGAUAACAGCGCAAUCCAUUUCAAGAGCUCCUAUCGACAAAUGGGUUUACGACCUCGAUGUUGGAUCAGGGUAUCCUAGUGGUGCAGCCGCUACUAAUGGUUCGUUUGUUCAACGAUUAAAACCCU
rnacentral:rRNA from 1 species